rnacentral:rRNA from 1 species
CCUACGGGAGGCAGCAGUGAGGAAUAUUGGUCAAUGGACGAGAGUCUGAACCAGCCAAGUAGCGUGAAGGAUGACUGCCCUAUGGGUUGUAAACUUCUUUUAUAUGGGAAUAAAAUGUUCUAAGUGUGGGAUUUUGUAUGGAUCAGAUGAUUAAGGAUCGGCUAACUCCGUGCCAGCAGCCGCGGUAAUACGGAGUAUCCGAGCGUUCUCCGGAUUUAUUGGGUUUAAAGGGCGCGUAGGUGGAUGUUUAAGUGAGUUGUGAAAGUUUGCGGCUCAACCGUAAAAUUGCAGUUGAAACUGGCAGUCUUGAGUACAGGAGAGGUGGGCGGAAUUCGUGGUGUAGCGGUGAAAUGCUUAGAUAUCACGAAGAACUCCGAUUGCGAAGGCAGCUCACUGGACUGCAACUGACACUGAGGCUCGAAAGUGUGGGUAUCAAACAGGAUUAGAUACCCCGGUAGUC